rnacentral:rRNA from 1 species
ACGGAAGGCAGCAGUGGGGGAUAUUGCACAAUGGGGGAAACCCUGAUGCAGCGACGCCGCGUGAGUGAUGAAGUAUUUCGGUAUGUAAAGCUCUAUCAGCAGGGAAGAUAAUGACGGUACCUGACUAAGAAGCACCGGCUAAAUACGUGCCAGCAGCCGCGGUAAUACGUAUGGUGCAAGCGUUAUCCAGAUUUACUGGGUGUAAAGGGUGCGUAGGUGGCAGGGCAAGUCAGAUGUGAAAGACCGGGGCUCAACUCCGGGGCUGCAUUUGAAACUGUCUUGCUGGAGUGCAGGAGGGGCAAGCGGAAUUCCUAGUGUAGCGGUGAAAUGCGUAGAUAUUAGGAGGAACACCAGUGGCGAAGGCGGCCUACUGGACGACAACUGACGCUGAGGCUCGAAAGCGUGGGGAGCAAACAGGAUUAGAUACCCUGGUA